CGCCAUGGCAGGGCCUCGUCCAUCCAGCCUGGGCCGCGCUGGCCGGAGCAGACCGCAAGCGGCCCGCUGGGAGCCCAGCCAAGAGCGGUGUUUUUCCAGGUCCGCGCAGGGCCACGGGAACCCGCGUGUUUGUUUGGUGGGAAUGGAUUCCUGGAAAACUAGACGGAAGGCUCUCCCAGCUGCUGGCUCCGCUCUGUUGAUGGAUACCAUCCAGUGUCACCACAGGGGCUUCCAGUGCCUGGAAUUUUGGUGGGAGGAGAGCAACUUCAGGAAUGAAGGAGGAGGUAACAGCAGCAGAGAUUCAGGGCAGACCUUGGGGAGACGCCCAUCAAAGCAGGUGAGGAUGGGGAAAAAGGACUGAGGGUGGGCCCAUCGGUCCGUUCCAGAACUCCCACUGGAACGUCAAAUGGGGUUGAGCGGACAGCUGAGCCCUGGAGCCUGGGGACGAGAUGUUCCAUCCUCUGAGCAGACUGAGGCCGGAUGCACUGCUUGGAGCCGACGCCGCACCAGCUCCAGCUCCCUUCCUUGGCUGCACAGUCUUCUUUGGAGUGAGGGUCGGCCCUCUCGGCGCCUCAGGGAGCGCAGGGCCCUUCGGAGGCAAGUGGUGUGGGGGCCUCUCCCAUGUGGGGGGCUCUGUUAGACCUCCUUCCUUCCUCUUCUCGUUGGCGGCGAGGCUGGAGGGUGUGCUCUUUCCAGACCCUUCUCUCUCACGAGUCUGAACAGUCAGAGGAAGCGGC
rnacentral:lncRNA from 1 species